rnacentral:rRNA from 1 species
UACAGAGGUCUCAAGCGUUGUUCGGAAUUACUGGGCGUAAAGGGCGCGUAGGCGGCAAGGCAAGUCAGGUGUGAAAGCCCCGAGCUUAACUCGGGAAUUGCAUCUGAAACUGCUGUGCUUGAGUUCUGGAGGGGGUAGUGGAAUUCCCAGUGUAGCGGUGAAAUGCGUAGAUAUUGGGAGGAACACCUGCGGCGAAGGCGGCUACCUGGACAGAAACUGACGCUGAGGCGCGAAAGCUAGGGGAGCGAACGGG